rnacentral:rRNA from 1 species
GGAAUUGACGGGGCCGCACAAGCGGUGGAGUAUGUGGUUUAAUUCGAAGCAACGCGAAGAACCUUACCAGGCCUUGACAUGCAGAGAACUUUCCAGAGAUGGAUUGGUGCCUUCGGGAACUCUGACACAGGUGCUGCAUGGCUGUCGUCAGCUCGUGUCGUGAGAUGUUGGGUUAAGUCCCGCAACGAGCGCAACCCUUGCCUUUAGUUGCCAGCAGUUCGGCUGGGCACUCUAAAGGGACUGCCGGUGUUAAACCGGAGGAAGGUGGGGAUGACGUCAAGUCCUCAUGGCCUUUAUGACCAGGGCUACACACGUACUACAAUGGCCGAUACAAAGGGCAGCGACACUGCGAGGUGAAGCCAAUCCCGUAAAAUCGGUCUCAGUCCGGAUUGGAGUCUGCAACUCGACUCCAUGAAGUUGGAAUCGCUAGUAAUCGUGGAUCAGCAUGCCACGGUGAAUACGUUCCCGGGCCUU